UAUCGGACAUUAGCCAAAUAUUGCGAAAAACAUGGGAAACUGUUUGGGUUCUUCUACACAAGUGGGUUCUCUACAACAAGUGGGUUCUCCAUCUCAAAUACCUCCUCCUCCAAAUUAUGAUCUAAAAGAAAUAUAUGAGAACUUGACAACUAUUUUUCUUGAAAGCUAUGAUUUAGUUAAUAAUCUUCAGCAGACUUUUGCAGCGAAAGAGAUGCAAAAUUCAACGGCUAUUGGAGUUGUUAAAAAAAGAGUUACAAAAUAUUCAAUGAUGACAAAACUGUCAAAUGAAGAGGCAGAGCAAAUAGCCGAGGAUACAAACAAAGUACUAGAAAGAUAUUGGUUCAAACGAUCUAAAAAGAUCAUCUCAAGUGUAAUAAACAGACUUAAAGACGUCAUUGUCAGUACAGAUCAACAACCGACUUUAUCUACAUUAAUUAGCAAAUUAGAAACAGAUUGUCUACAGUGGCUUGAAACUGCAAUUAAUCAACUAAGUAAAGACAUACUUGAGGCGAAAAGUACAGAUGAAGGUGAAAAUGGUAGAAAUGAAUCAGUUGAUGGUUUAGAAACUGGCCAAACAAUUGAGGGUCCUUAUGAUGACAAAACAGAGGUUUUUAGGUUGCUUUUCACAUGUACUUUGAUAUUGGAAACAGAACGCGACAACUAUUCUGAAAUAUGUUUAUAUGUUUAGAGGCUACUAUAUAAGAAAAGUAAAGAAUGACAGAUGUGUAAAUAGAAAUGAAAGAAUUAAUCAAAAGGAAAGUAUAUUAUAUUCAUAUCCAUGUACCUACUGAAAUAAAUUAAAGAAUACGUAUGCAAGUAACAGCAUACUAAAGACUCAAAGACCCAAAACACCACAAGAAGGAAGUUGUUCAAAUGUGAAAUGUGUUAACAAGCUAUAACAUAUGAGACAAAACUGAAUUUGAUAGGAGUUUGAAAAAGCGUUUUUUUAUUUCAUCAUAACAUUAUUUGAGGCUUUCACUGAAAAAGAAAUAAUGUAUAUAACAUUUUGAUGUAUCUAAUUACUGUUAUGAGGCAAUAAAUUACUUUAAAUAAUUAACCUAAUGUAUCUGAUUGUUGCCAUAAAUGCAUGUGGUGUUUAUUCAUAUUUUGAUGUAAAGAUUUUGCAUUUAUUUCUCUCUUAGAUAUAAAAGUAUUGCUUUAAAUAAAAAUAAAAUUCCC